AACUGAUACUACCUGCGGGAACCUGCGGAGGGAUCAUUAAAGAGAAAACUGCCCUUUGGGUAGAUCUCCCACCCUUUGUUUACCUUACCUUUGUUGCUUUGGCAGGCCCGUCUUCUGACCACCGGCUUUAGCUGGUCCGUGCCUGCCAGAGGACCCCAAACUCUUAAUUUUAAGUUGUCCGAGUCUUAUAAAAUAGUAAAAACUUUCAGCAAUGGAUCUCU
rnacentral:misc_RNA from 1 species